rnacentral:rRNA from 1 species
GAUGAACGCUGGCGGCGUGCCUAAUACAUGCAAGUCGAGCGAACAGACGAGGAGCUUGCUCCUCUGACGUUAGCGGCGGACGGGUGAGUAACACGUGGAUAACCUACCUAUUAGACUGGGAUAACUUCGGGAAACCGGAGCUAAUACCGGAUAAUAUAUUGAACCGCAUGGUUCAAUAGUGAAAGACGGUUUUGCUGUCACUUAUAGAUGGAUCCGCGCCGCAUUAGCUAGUUGGUAAGGUAACGGCUUACCAAGGCAACGAGGCGUAGCCGACCUGAGAGGGUGAUCGGCCACACUGGAACUGAGACACGGUCCAGACUCCUACGGGAGGCAGCAGUAGGGAAUCUUCCGCAAUGGGCGAAAGCUUGACGGAGCAACGCCGCGUGAGUGAUGAAGGUCUUCGGAUCGUAAAACUCUGUUAUUAGGGAAGAACAAAUGUGUAAGUAACUAUGCACGUCUUGACGGUACCUAAACAGAAAGCCACGGCUAACUACGUG